rnacentral:sRNA from 18 species
UCUAGCUCUCACGAGCUAGGCUAAAUCAUGGCGUGCUUUCAGCACU